rnacentral:sRNA from 1 species
AAGGAGAAGUCGUAACAAGGUUUCCGUAGGUGAACCUGCGGAAGGAUCAUUGUCGUGGAAAAGAGCAACCAUGCGAACCCGUUUUUUCACUCUUCGCUCGACGGAUGCGCCCUCCGGCCCGAUGCCCUGGAUGCCGUCCUUGCGCUUCCGCACGGGCGUCGGCGGGGGGUGCGCGACCAGCCGAGCGACACCCACAGGGCGCAGCGCGCGCCAAGCACUUGAAGCGAAAAGGUGCGGAGUCCCCGGCCGUUGCCCCGCUCCUUCCUUCCGGUCGGGGCGCGGCAUCGAUGUUCGGGACGCCACCGCACUGCUCCGAUCAUAGACGACUCUCGGCAACGGAUAUCUCGGCUCUUGCAUCGAUGAAGAACGUAGCGAGAUGCGAUACGUGGUGUGAAUUGCAGAAUCCCGUGAACCAUCGAGUCUUUGAACGCAAGUUGCGCCCGAGGCCACUCGGCCGAGGGCACGCCUGCCUGGGCGUCACGCCCCCGUUCGCUCCCUCGAGGCACGCCCUGCCUCGGGGAUGCGGAGAUUGGCCGCCCGUUGUGCGAAUAGAAGGCGAGCGGUUGGCCCAAAUGCAGGUCAAAGUGCGGUGCGGCACGACGCGCGUUGGUUUAGCCGCGCGGUUGAUCGCURAUCGGUCGCCGCGCCCGUGUCAUGCCGCUCGCGGUGCGACCCGUGGGACGCAACUUGCCCGCUGCGGCGGGCACUCGGACCGCGACCCCAGGUCAGGCGGGACCACCCGCUGAGUUUAAGCAUAUCAAUAAGCGGAGGAGAAGAAACUUACGAGGAUUCCCC